rnacentral:ncRNA from 2 species
CUCGCUCUAACGGGGUGCUUUGUCGAAAAGACAAGGCUGAGAGGCUUUGGCCAACCCGAAGAACCUGAUCCGGUUAACACCGGCGGAGGGAUUAGACGGCUUCCAUCC